UAAAUGAUUUCACCUUGCUACAGAGAAUAACUAAACCAAAUAGCUCUAUCAAAAGGGAUGGAUCACCAUAUAAAGCACCUCCAAUAGAGCUUCGAUGUCUGCAUCUUCAUAUAAAGGAUUUCAUGACAUAAUUAAGGAGCACAAUGAAUUCCCAAGUGAUAAGUGAAGACUGAACUCAAUUCACAGACAUUACCACAUUUACCUCAUAUAUACGCCUCCCC
rnacentral:lncRNA from 1 species